AUUUACUUCGCAAAUAAUAGUAUAGAUUAUUAGUUAUUAUGAGAAUUUCAUUUACCUUUUAUUUAAUUCUUUUAACAUAUUAGAAUGAGUAAAAACAUAUCCUCCUUUUAAUGUAGGUUCAAAGAUCCAAAUUAGUCUUCUCCCAAAAACAACAUCUAGGGUUCAUGCGAUUCAAAGACGACUUUCUCCGACAACCAUUAAUAUCUCCGGCAAGACGAUUUUUUCUGGUGAACACAGAAAACCUACCUCAUUAUAGUUUUAUCGGCAUUUUGUAAUUAUUGUUUUUGUUAAUAAAAAAUUAGAGUAAAUUGGAUAUGAAAAACAAUCUAGUAAUUAAAAUAAAAUUUAAGUAGACCUGAUAAAUAAAAGUUAAACUAGUUUUUCCAAAAAUUUAACUGCAAAAAUAUAUAAACUGAUAAUUGCAGUAUAUGCAUAAAAGUUCCAUAUGACAAUCUAACAAUACUAAAAGCAGGAUAUUAAGCUCUCUAAGCACAUCCACGUAGGAUUGGAAAUUCAGGCCAAUCAGAGAUUGAAUUUCUGCCACGUCAUUUAUUUCCUGGAUCUAAACCGAAGGUCCUAUUUUGAGAUCCAUCGUCAAACCCUUCAUCUUCCUGCACUUUCUUUCAUCAAACGUAUAAAAAAAAUAUCACUCACGAAUAGAUCAAUGUUACAUUUCCUUCACUCCUUAAGGAAAAACCACAUUCAACACACAAUUUUGCCUUCAGUUCCAAAUUAAAUCUCUUCUAAACAUCUCUCUAUUACAUCUACCCUUUCAUUUCAAUCUGAAUCCAGCCGUUUCAUGUAUCUAUGAAAGCUCUCCUAUAAAUUUAGGGCCAAACACAACUAAACCCUCACCACAAUCCACCGCAAAAACAUGCCGUCAGCAGAUUCGUCUUUCUCAAUUCCCGUCUUCCUUUAUUGCUGAUCUUUAUCAUGAUUUAUGUCUAGGGUUCAUACAUCUCCCUCGACAGUCUCCAUCUGGAUUGAUUCAACGUAUUGGAUUGCAUAUAUGUUGGCUUACGAAGCUGAGAGUUUCAUUCAAGGGAAAUAAAAAGGACGCCACUGAAUUCUUGGAGGAGAUGAAUGAGAAAGAAACUACAGAGAUGAAAGAAAUCAUGGGUCUAAAGGGGAAUGGAGUUCUAUGUGUCUACCCUCGGGAAAAGAACAUCAAAAACGUGCUGUCCAUCUCAAAAGAGAAGAAGAAAGAGCACCAAAGAAUUCAAGCAGACUUUCUUUCUUAGUUUUGCUUUUAAGAUUUCAAGAAUAAAAUCAGGUUAGUCCUGUGGAUGGCACCGUUCUGAGGUUUGGGGAGUUAAAAGAAAGUAGAGGGAUGAACGAGCAAGUCAAAGGACAUUCCUACUCAGCAUCAGGUCUUCUCGGAACAAACUCUCCUUCCCAUGGUACCUAAAGGUAAGGAUGAAUCUGAGGAAGAAGCUGUUGCAGAUAAAAUCGACAAGUCUUGGUUGAGAAUCUCUUUGGCUUAUCCAAAACUACGGGAGAGCAUCUCAGCUAGAUCAGUGAAAUACUAGCACGUCUAAGCCGUGACUUUAGUGUCAAGAAAAUUUCAACUUAUAUGAUCGAGUUUUGUUGCAGUCCGAUGAAGGGGCUCUAUUAUUGUGUGAUAUACCUAAGACCAGGGGACUAUCAUCAUAUACACUCUCCAGCUGACUGGAAUGCAUUGGUUUGUAGACACUUUGCAGGGCGGUUGUUUCCUGUGAAUGAGUGUGCUACAAGAACUAUAAAAAAAUCUCUAUGUUGAAAAUGAAAGGGUCGUACUUGAAGGGAUAUGGAAACAAGGUUUUAUGGCACUUGCUGCUGAUGGUGCGACCAACAUUGGAUCCAUUGCGCUAUUCAUCGAACCUAGGAGCAGGUGUACGAUCCACAAGGUCAUGGCGUAAAGCUUGAGAAAGGAAAGGAGGUAGGUGUAUUCAACAUGGGAUCAACUGUGGUGGUUCAAGCAGUUCCUCGGAUUACAGAUUCUGUGUCAAACUCUGUUUGUUAAUGACAGUGUCUGAAUAUGACCGUUUGACAGGCUAAUAGCGGUUGAGUGUUGGAGCUACCUAGAUGCCUAGAAGAACUCGCUGGCAAGCAAUGCUUCUUUCAUGAUUCAAGUGAAACCAUACAAUUUCACUCCCAACCAUGGCACCUUCACGUACGAUGUCUGCAACUUCUGAGGACGUGUCUGUGAAACUCCUUUUUGUGCACUACGUGUCUGUGAAACUCAUUCAGAGAUAAACUAAGCUUAGUAAAGAAAACAUCUUCAACAGCAGUGAUUGAAAUAACACAUCUACUGAUUAGUUAUAGGUUGAAAGCAGCAACACAACUCCACAAGCGGCAUGGCAGAUUGCACAACCACCUGCUUCUGACACCAACCCGAUGGAUGGGCUACAAAAGGGAUGGACGUUGAUCAACCAACACCACCCAACUUUGGAGAUGAGGAGAAGAGCCGCAAACGCCCCUGGAGUGAUUGUUGGAAGUACUACAAUUCGUCUUUCCCACUAAGAUUUCUUUUCCUACAUUACAAGCUCUACGCAAUUGCUCUUUUCCGUCGUUUGUGUUUUUCCUAUUUUCUUUUUAAAAUUUCCUGCAACAAGCUCCAUCUGAGAACAGUGUUAUUUUAAUUUAAAUUAAAGGAAGUUUGACGGCUUAACAUGAUCA